GGCAAGGAUAGAGAGCACAUCUUACACACAAUUGAUGCCCACAACCUUCGGCAGCCACUGAACAUGCCCUCUCCAGGCAAACAGCACAAGUAUCAGAAUCAUCAGAGGAAGAUCCUGAAGACUGCAACCCACACUCUCUUGCGAUGUUAAGCACGCUUAAGAGAGGCAACGAUAAAUAACUUGAAGAUGGAAAAGGUGGAAUUAUCGACUCAGAAUUUGGUGCAAGUAAUGGUUCAAGCCAAU
rnacentral:misc_RNA from 1 species